rnacentral:rRNA from 1 species
AGAGUUUGAUCCUGGCUCAGGAUGAACGCUGGCGGCGUGCCUAACACAUGCAAGUCGAGCGAUUCUCUUCGGAGAAGAGCGGCGGACGGGUGAGUAACGCGUGGGUAACCUGCCCUGUACACACGGAUAACAUACCGAAAGGUAUGCUAAUACGGGAUAACAUAAGAAAUUCGCAUGUUUUUCUUAUCAAAGCUCCGGCGGUACAGGAUGGACCCGCGUCUGAUUAGCUAGUUGGUGAGGUAAUGGCUCACCAAGGCGACGAUCAGUAGCCGACCUGAGAGGGUGAUCGGCCACAUUGGAACUGAGACACGGUCCAAACUCCUACGGGAGGCAGCAGUGGGGAAUAUUGCACAAUGGGCGAAAGCCUGAUGCAGCAACGCCGCGUGAGCGAUGAAGGCCUUCGGGUCGUAAAGCUCUGUCCUCAAGGAAGAUAAUGACGGUACUUGAGGAGGAAGCCCCGGCUAACUACGUGCCAGCAGCCGCGGUAAUACGUAGGGGGCUAGCGUUAUCCGGAUUUACUGGGCGUAAAGGGUGCGUAGGCGGUCUUUUAAGUCAGGAGUGAAAGGCUACGGCUCAACCGUAGUAAGCUCUUGAAACUGGAGGACUUGAGUGCAGGAGAGGAGAGUGGAAUUCCUAGUGUAGCGGUGAAAUGCGUAGAUAUUAGGAGGAACACCAGUGGCGAAGGCGGCUUACUGGACGAUGACUGACGUUGAGGCUCGAAAGCGUGGGGAGCAAACAGGAUUAGAUACCCUGGUAGUCCACGC